GGUAUUGAAAUAAGAUUUUAAAUGAGUGCUAAGAGAAUGAUUAAACAAUUAAAAGCUUUCUUUAAUUAAAAAAUUAAAUUUAAUUUUUUUAGUGCAAAAGCAAAAAUAAAAUUUAGGGACAAGAAGACCCUAUGAAUUUUUAUUGUUAAUAAUUAAAAUUUAAAUUAUUAAUAAUUUAAUUGGGGCGAUAAAAAAAGAAUAAGUAUCUUUUUAGUUAUAAAAUAAGUUCCGUUUUUAGCGAUUAAAUGAAAUAAAUACUCUAGGGAUAACAGCGUAAUAAUUUUGGAUAGUUCAUAUAGAUAAAAUAGUUUGCGACCUCGAUGUUGGAUUAGGAUUCU
rnacentral:rRNA from 1 species